UCCCUUGACGGUACUUAAUGAAUAAGCCCCGGCUAAUUAUGUGCCAGCAGCCGCGGUAAUACAUAAGGGGCGAGCGUUAUCCGGAAUUAUUGGGCGUAAAGGGUGCGUAGGCGGUUUAAUAAGUCUAUAGUUUAAUUUCAGUGCUUAACGCUGUUGUGCUAUAGAAACUGUUUUACUAGAGUGAGUUAGAGGCAAGCGGAAUUCCAUGUGUAGCGGUAAAAUGCGUAAAUAUAUGGAGGAACACCAGAGGCGUAGGCGGCUUGCUGGGACUUUACUGACGCUGAGGCACGAAAGCGUGGGGAGCAAACAGGAUUAGAUACCCUGGUAGUCCACACCGUAAACGAUGAGUACUAAGUGUCGGGUAAAACCGGUACUGAAGUUAACACAUUAAGUACUCCGCCUGAGUAGUACGUACGCAAGUAUGAAACUUAAAGGAAUUGACGGGACUCCGCACAAGCGGUGGAUCAUGUUGUUUAAUUCGAAGAUACACGAAAAACCUUACCAGGUCUUGACAUUUUCUUGCGAAGUUAUAGAAAUAUAAUGGAGGUUAUCAGGAAAACAGGUGGUGCAUGGUUGUCGUCAGCUCGUGUCGUGAGAUGUUAGGUUAAGUCCUAAAACGAGCGCAACCCUUGUCGUUAAUUGCCAGCAUGUAAUGAUGGGGACUUUAACGAGACUGCCAAUGAAAAAUUGGAGGAAGGUGGGGAUUACGUCAAAUCAUCAUGCCCCUUAUGAUCUGGGCUACAAACGUGAUACAAUGGUUGAUACAAAGAGUAGCUGAAACGCGAGUUCUUAGCCAAUCUCACAAAAUCAAUCUCAGUUCGGAUUGAAGUC
rnacentral:rRNA from 1 species